GGGGCUGUGGCUCAAUGGUAGAGCGCUUGCCUAGUAUGUGUGAGGCACUGGGUUCAAUUCCCAGAACCACA
rnacentral:tRNA from 1 species